CGGAGGCGCGGGCCGGAAAGGCUUUCCGAGGAAGCGGGACCGAGAGCGGAAGAAGUGAGCGGAGGCGUCGGUCCCGCACUAUUUCAAGACAGCCGCUCCCAUUGGGAAGCCGCUCAAUGCGGGCAGCCGCAUUCCUUGCCACGUAUCCACGGUCCUGAAUUCCAGUCUUUGGAAUGAUGAGGCCAUUUUAUCUCCAGGUCUCACUUUCCAGGAAAAGACAGAUUCCAUGAGUUUCUGAAUAAACAGUGUCUUGUCCCUGACGAUUCUCUUGACCAGAGGCCUCUUAGCAAGAUUCAGAGAAGAGCUGGAAGAGUCAUUUGGGCAGAUGUUGGACUCAGUGACCAUUUCCCAAGAGCAGCUGAAACUGAGCAAGUCCCAGGUUAUGAGCUUGCAGUUUGGGAGAUCUGCACAUCGAUCUCUGCACUAACAGCACGGAGCCGGCUUGGGAUUCUCUUCCCUCUCUCUCUGCCCAACUC